rnacentral:rRNA from 1 species
GACAGAGGGUGCAAACGUUGUUCGGAAUUACUGGGCGUAAAGCGUGUGUAGGCGGUCUCAUAAGUCGGGUGUGAAAGCCCUGGGCUCAACCCAGGAAGUGCACUCGAUACUGCGAGGCUAGAGUAUCGGAGAGGUUGGUGGAAUUCUCGGUGUAGAGGUGAAAUUCGUAGAUAUCGAGAGGAACACCGGUGGCGAAGGCGGCCAACUGGACGAAUACUGACGCUGAGACUCGAAAGCGUGGGGAGCAAACAGG